AGAAAACCCCUGUUUAAAAUGUGAGGGAGCGAUCCCUUCAUAUUUCCCAACUCUUACUAUGCAAUACGGCGGAUAAAAGACAACUCAAUUCUUUGCUCAAGGGCUCUCAGAUAGAACGUGAGCCAUGGCGGAACAUCAAACCACAGGGAAAG